UAAAUUUAAAUGUUUUAGUAUAUUAUAUAAAAUAAAUAAAAUUAGUAAUAGUUUAUUAGUAUUGUAAAAUAAUAUUGAAAUAUAAUGAAAAAUUUUUAUUUUAAAAGAAAAUUUUAUUUAUUGUAUCUUGUGUAUCAGAGUAUAUUAAAUAAAAAAUAAUUAUAAUAUUUUUCUCGAUUUUAAAAGAUUUAAUAAAUUAUAAAAAUUAAUGUAAUAAAAUUAUUUUUAAUAAUUUAUUAGAAAUGAAAUGUUAUUCGUUUUUAAAGGUAUCUAGUUUUUUAAGAAAUAAAUUAAAUUUAAAUUUUUAAAAUUUAUUUAUUUAUUUUUUUUAAUUAAAUAAUUUUUAAGAAUUAAUAUUUUAUGGGAUAAGCUAUAAAAUAAAUUUUUAUAAAUAAUAAAUAUAAAUUUAAAUAUUAUAUGUUUAGAAUUAUCAAUUAUUAUUAAAUUUGUUAUAAAUUAAUUUUUAUAAGAAAUUAUUUAUUAUAUUUUAAAUUUUUAUUAAAAUAUUUUUUUUAACAAUAAAAACAAAAUAAUAAUGAUAUAAUUAGUAUAUUAUAAUUUAUUUAAUUUUUUUAAAAUGAAAAGUUUAUUUAAAGAAUUCGGCAAAAAUAAUAUUCGCCUGUUUAACAAAAACAUGUCUUUUAGAAUUUAAUUUAAAGUCUAACCUGCCCAAUGAUUUUUUUUAAUGGCCGCAGUAUUUUAACUGUGCAAAGGUAGCAUAAUCAUUAGUCUUUUAAUUGAAGGCUGGAAUGAAUGGUUGGACGAAAUAUUAACUGUUUCAUUUAAAAUUAUAAUAAAAUUUUAUUUUUUAAUUAAAAAGUUAAAAUUUAAUUAAAAGACGAGAAGACCCUAUAAAUCUUUAUAUAUUUAUUAAUUUUAAUUUUAAAGAUUAUUUUAAUUAUAAUAAAUAAAUAUAUUUUAUUGGGGUGAUAUUAAAAUUUAAUUAACUUUUAAAUAUAUAAAUCAUUAAUUUAUGAAUAAUUGAUCCAAUUAUAUUGAUUAAAAAUUUAAGUUACUUUAGGGAUAACAGCGUAAUUUUUUUGGAGAGUUCAUAUUGAUAAAAAAGAUUGCGACCUCGAUGUUGGAUUAAGAUAUAAGUUUAGGUGUAGCCGUUUAAAUUUAAAGUCUGUUCGACUUUUAAAAUCUUACAUGAUCUGAGUUCAAACCGGUGUAAGCCAGGUUGGUUUCUAUCUUUAAUAAAUUAAAAUAUUUUAGUACGAAAGGAUUAAAUAUUUAAUUAAUUAUAAUUUAAAAAUAAGAA
rnacentral:rRNA from 1 species